rnacentral:rRNA from 1 species
GACGGGGGGGGCAAGCGUUGUUCGGAAUUAUUGGGCGUAAAGAGCUCGUAGGCGGUUUGUCGCGUCUGCUGUGAAAACUGGGGGCUCAACCCCCAGCCUGCAGUGGAUACGGGCAGACUAGAGGUAGGUAGGGGAGAAUGGAAUUCCCGGUGUAGCGGUGAAAUGCGCAGAUAUCGGGAGGAACACCGGUGGCGAAGGCGGUUCUCUGGGCCUUACCUGACGCUGAGGAGCGAAAGCGUGGGGAGCGAACAGG